UACAGGGGGGGCGAGCGUUAUUUAACACAAUUGGGCGUAAAGGGUACGUAGGUGGUUGCAUAAGUUUUUUUAGAAAAACUAGAAAUAUGACUCUUUUAGUCUUUAAAAAAACACGUGUUCAAACUUGAGUAAUUUAGGUCGUCGUUGGAAUUUUCGGAGGAGAGCUGAAAUCCAAAGAAACCCUAAGGAAUAUUGUAUGCGAAAGUGUAUGGCGCCACAUUACUGACACUCAGGUACGAAGGCAUUGGUA
rnacentral:rRNA from 1 species